AUGAAGCACUCGUUCAUGGCUCUCAGGGGUUGCUGCGGGGACAUGUCUUUCAGUCUCGGAAACGUGAUGAGAGGCAGAGAAGUCACGGAUUGACAGCCUGACGUGUGAUUGACACGGGCGUCGGGGCUUGCGGACAAGCGUUGUAACUCCAGCGGCCUGAGACUGGAGAGAUGGGUUGAGUCCUGGAGGCCCAGGCCCCGCAAGAUGGCUGCUCUCUUGUUCUCUGCACGCCCCCUGCUGGACCAGGGCCUUUCACCUGUGCCUACACACGUGGCCAACGUUCCUGCAUGCUUGCUCCUGCUCCAGCUGCAGGAGCAGCACCUGGGGACUUGUCAGAAGGCACGUUCUCAGGCCCCGUCCCCGACCUGCUGACUGAGAAACUCCCUCUGAAGUCUAUUGUGAUGAGCCCUACCGAUGCUUCUGUUCUUGUGUUUAGUUGCCAAGUUGUGGCCAACUCUUUGUGACCCCAUGGACUGCAGCAC